rnacentral:rRNA from 1 species
UACGAAGGGGGCUAGCGUUGUUCGGAAUUACUGGGCGUAAAGCGCACGUAGGCGGAUAUUUAAGUCAGGGGUGAAAUCCUGGAGCUCAACUCCAGAACUGCCUUUGAUACUGAAGAUCUUGAGUUCGGGAGAGGUGAGUGGAAUUCCGAGUGUAGAGGUGAAAUUCGUAGAUAUUCGGAGGAACACCAGAAGCGAAGGCGGCUCACUGGCCCGAUACUGACGCUGAGGCGCGAAAGCGUGGGGAGCAAACAGG